AUGAACGCUGGCGGCGUGCCUAAUACAUGCAAGUCGAGCGAACAGACGAGGAGCUUGCUCCUCUGACGUUAGCGGCGGACGGGUGAGUAACACGUGGAUAACCUACCUAUAAGACUGGGAUAACUUCGGGAAACCGGAGCUAAUACCGGAUAAUAUAUUGAACCGCAUGGUUCCAUAGUGAAAGACGGUUUUGCUGUCACUUAUAGAUGGAUCCGCGCCGCAUUAGCUAGUUGGUAAGGUAACGGCUUACCAAGGCGACGAUGCGUAGCCGACCUGAGAGGGUGAUCGGCCACACUGGAACUGAGACACGGUCCAGACUCCUACGGGAGGCAGCAGUAGGGAAUCUUCCGCAAUGGGCGAAAGCCUGACGGAGCAACGCCGCGUGAGUGAUGAAGGUCUUCGGAUCGUAAAACUCUGUUAUUAGGGAAGAACAAAUGUGUAAGUAACUAUGCACGUCUUGACGGUACCUAAUCAGAAAGCCACGGCUAACUACG
rnacentral:rRNA from 1 species